rnacentral:rRNA from 1 species
CUGAUAUAUUUAUAUUAAAGGGCUGCAGUAUAUUGACUGUACAAAGGUAGCAUAAUCAAUAGUCUUUUAAUUGAUGACUUGUAUGAAGGAUUGGAUGAAAUAUAAACUGUCUCUAAUUUAUAUAAAGAAUUUAAUUUUUUAAUUAAAAAGUUAAAAUAAAUUUAAAAGACGAGAAGACCCUAUAGAGUUUUAUAUUUAAAUUUAUUAAUAUUAUUUUUUAGUUUUAUAAUUGAGAUUAGUUUAAAUAUUAUAUUGGGGUGAUAAAAAAAUAUAAUUAACUUUUUUAUUUUAAUUCAUAGAUAAGUGAAUAUAUGAUCCAUAAUUUUUGAUUAAAAGAAAAAAUUACCUUAGGGAUAACAGCGUAAUUUUUUCUUUUAGUUCAUAUAAAAGAAAGAGUUUGCGACCUCGAUGUUGGAUUAAGAUAAAAUUUAUAUGCAAAAGUAUAAUAUUUUGAUC